rnacentral:rRNA from 1 species
UACGUAGGGUGCAAGCGUUAAUCGGAAUUACUGGGCGUAAAGCGUGCGCAGGCGGUUUUGUAAGUCUGACGUGAAAUCCCCGGGCUCAACCUGGGAAUUGCGUUGGAGACUGCAAGGCUAGAAUCUGGCAGAGGGGGGGUAGAAUUCCACGUGUAGCAGUGAAAUGCGUAGAGAUGUGGAGGAACACCGAUGGCGAAGGCAGCCCCCUGGGUCAAGAUUGACGCUCAUGCACGAAAGCGUGGGGAGCAAACAGG